CUGGGCCCUGUGGAGAAGGUUCUCCCCAUUGGCUGCUCCGGAGUCCACCUGCCCUGUCUGAGCAGCCCGAAAGCCAUUGGCCGCCGCCGCUGUCGCUUAGCAAGAAGCCAGCCUUAGUCUUCGCUUUGGGUUGCGAGGGGUGACUAGCUAGCUCAGAAGCGUAGCCAUCCUCUCUCCAUUGGUCGCUCGAAGCUGGACACUGUGCCUCACAUCUACAAACUUAGGAACUCUAGCUGUAUGGCGGCGCGUCUAGGGGAACCUCGUCGGCUCCGUGUGGAACCUGGGUGUUUUAAGUGUUCGUGCCGUUUCCUCAGGCUAAGCCGCGCUCGAACGGAUGCGGUGCUGGGGGUCACAAAAUGAGGUGCCACCCCCAAACAUUACGUCAUCGGGGUGACCAUUGCCUGGGGUUCCUCGCAGUCUAAACUGCUUUAUAAUCCGGAUGGAUGCGGUUCUGGCGUCCGCCUGCCUCUGGGCGUACGCACCACGCACGGCCCCUCCCUCUGCGGGAGAGCUGGACAGACUUUGGGAUUCCGAGUGUAAAAGAAACCGGAACCACCGAGACCUGAGACCUGGGACACGCUGCGACCGGAAGUGGGGGAGGUGACGUUGGGAAGUGCUGGCGUGGCCUGGGCCACAACCAAGGAGAGCUUAAGUGUUCGGAGUGGAACCUAGUGCUUCACCCAGUCCAAGCAAGCAGCCCACCGACAUAGCAGCUUGGCGAGUGUUUUUGUUUUGUUUUGGCGAUACUGAUUAUUGGACGUUGGGAGUCGCACACGCUUGGCAGGUGCACUCGUAACACUGAAGCUACUCUAUACCCUAUCACUUUUUGGGACAGGGUUUCCACUAAGUUGUCCUGCCUGCCUAGUAACUAGGGCUACACUGUUGCGCCAUCAGGCCCAGGUUUGGGUAAAGCUUUUAAAAGAAGGCUCUGUUACCUCCCCUUGGACUCCCAUAGCAGUGGAUCCAAAAAAUUCAGGCUUAUGUAUGGGAGGAAUCUUGGAACCACUACAUUCCACAUGAUGACAUCAGACAAAUCGUUCUACCUCCCUAAACCUAUUGUCUCAUGAAUAAAAUGGUAACUAUAAUAUCCACCUGCCAAGAUUAUUUUUGUGAGCAUGAAAAGCUUAGAAGGCAGAGUGCUAUUUAUAUAGCGAUAGCAAACAACGGGAUAAAUGCAGCCCCUACCUUUGCCUCAUCUGCCAUAUUUCUCAGAGGUGCUGCAGCUCACAGAACUCUUUCUGAAUAACGAGAGUUCUUUACUGGAGAGCUGAGGCUGUGGCUCCGUUGGUAGAUUAUAUUUUACAAACUUGGGUUCGGGUUUUAUGCUCAUAAUCCCAGCACUUGGAAGGUGGCGGCAGGAGUACCAAGUUCAAAGCUACUUUUGGCUCCAUAGGGAGUCUGAUUUCCACCCGGAAUACAUGAAACUCUUGAGUCCAACAAGGGAGAAAAAACCCUACUGAAUAUAUUCCAUUCCCAUAUUUUCCUCUGGGUCUUUCUAUAGGUUUAAUAAUUACUAUUCAUAUACAUGUAUUGUGAUUAGAGCUUUAUGUUCUCAUUAAUCCUUACAACUCUAGAGGAAAGUAUUAGUAUGGUCAUUUUAUAGAGAAGGAAACAAGCACAGGCAGGCUAGAUUAACUGAUUUACACAAAGUCAGAAGCAAUGAAGUUAAAAUUUUGAGAAUUCAAAAGAGUAAGUGGUGAAUUACAGAUUCCCUUGCCAAGAGAAUUCUGUAUAGAAAUUUGUUCUUCAAUUAGAUGUACUAGUCAUUUGUUUAAGAAAUAUUUUUCAAACUAGAUGUAGUGGAAGAAAUCUUGUAAUCCUAACACCUGGGAGGUGGAGGCAGAAGGAGCAAGAGUUCAAGGCCAGUCUCAGGUACAUAGCAAGUUCCAAACUGUACUAGUUACUUUUCUAUUGCUGUGGUAAAAACACCAUGACUGUGGCAACUUAGAGAGGGUUUACUUGGGCUUACAGUUCCAGUGGGUGGCAGGCUUCUACAUUUUUUUUAAGAUUGAUUUAUUUAUUUUAUGUAUAUGGGUACACUAUAGCUGUACAAAUGGUUGUGAGCCUUCAUGUGGUUGUUGGGAAUUGAAUUUUAGGACUUCUGCUCGCUCCGGUCAACUCCGCUUGCUCAGUCCCUGCUCGCUCCGGCCCAAAGAUUUAUUAUUAUAUAUAAGUAGACUGUAGCUGUCUUCUGACACACCUGAAGAGGGCAUCAGGUCUCGUUAUGGGUGGUUGUGAGCUACCAUGUGGUUGCUGGGAUUUGAACUCAGGACCUUCGGAAAGUAGUCAGUGCUCUUAACCACUGAGCCAUCUCGCCAGCCCAGAGAGCUCACAUCUUGAACUGAAAGCAAAAAGCAGGGAGGAAACUGGGAAAGGUGUGAGUCUUUAAACCUCAAAGCCUACCCUGGUGACAUACGUCAUCUAGCAAGAACACACUUCCUUAGCCUCCUAAACAUUUCCAUCAGUUGGAUUCAAGUGCCUAAGGCUAUGGGGGAUAAUUCAUUCAAACCACCACACAGACCAGCCUAUGCAAGUGAGACACCCUGACCAAAUGAGGGGAGUGUGAGGAAAAAUAUUUUAAUUCAGGUAAUAUUUAAUAAGCACCAUCUGUGAUUUAAGCACUAUUUUUGGCUGGGAAAAAUUUCAAACCAGGGACAUUUUUAAAUUCAAAAACUAAAUUUCAAAGCAGGGAAGGACAAGAAGAAGCAUGUGAGGGUUGUAGCUGUACAUAGGAUGGGUGAAUAAGACUUUUCUGAUAAGAUUGCUAGUAAGUGGUCCCUGAAGAGCUGCCUGAUUUCCCAGCUAUCUGGGUCAAGAACAUUCCAGGAAGGAGGUACAGAGGGUUCUUAGAUGGAAGUGUGAAACAGGGGUUAGCAGAUAGGAGGGGUAAGUCAGCUCAUGGGUGAGCUGAAGGCUGUUCUAAAAGUCUUUCAUGCCUACCGGAUGUGGUGGUGCACUCAGGAGACAGGCAGCCUGGUUUCCAAGACAGCCAGAGCUACACAAAAAUAAAUAAGUAAGUAAGUAGAUAAAUAAAAGGAGAAGAAGGAAAGAUGGAUGUGGUGGCAUGUGCCUGUAAACCCAGCACUGGAAGGCUAAGGCCAAAAGACCACAAGUUUUAGUCCAACUUGGGCUAUCCAGCGAGAGAGAGGCUGUCUCUAAGUUUAAGAAAAACAGCUGGAAAGAUGGAUCUGUUGUUAAGGUCACUUGCUGCUUUGUAGAGGACCCAGGUUUGAUUCCCAGCACCUACAUGGCAGUUUACAACUGACUAUAACUCCAGUUUUCCAAGUGAUCCAGCACUCUCUUCUGCCCUUCUCUUACCACACACACACACAGUAUGCAUACAUACAUUCAGAUAAAAACCGCAAAAAUAAUAAAUUUCUAAAAAGAGUCUUCCCAGAGACAGAUUGAUUUGGGGCCAUAGCUCAGUGACGAAGCCUUCCUAAACAGGUCUAAGACCCGAGCUCCAAUUCUACACCACAAGAAGAAAUGAGAGCAGAGAAAAGUCACAGAUCCCUGUAUUCCCAGUACAUGGAAUAGGCUGCAGCAGAAUCAGAAGUGAGUUCCAGAAAGACCUUGUCCCCAAAGAUGAAGGCAGUUAUGAAGAGGAUCUAGGGUGUGUGCGAAGAUUGGAGGAGGGAAAAGUCUGGGCAUCAUCCAGGGCAAGUCCAAGUGUUCAAGGUGGCAAGAAGAGAAUUCUAGGAGCGAAGCAGAAUUCUGAAACCUUACAGUAACCAAAUUUCCUAUUUUUAGGAGGGAAGGAGAAUGAUGCGCUGACAGGUUCCACCCACAUUCGUAAUGGGAGAAGUGACCUUGUGGAGUAAAGAAAACAGAGCUCAUCAAGAGUCUUGAUGAGAACACACAUGGUGCAUUGAUGGGGCAAAAGCUUUUAUAGAACGAGUUCGUAAGAUUGGAGAAGAGAUGCCAGGUAUGGUAGUGUAACCCUUUCACCUAGCAUUUGUGAGGCAGAGCCACACUGAUACAUGGAGUGAGAUCCAGGACUGUCAGCCAGGGCUACAUAAUGAGACCCUGUCUCUGAUGGAUUCCACAAUCCCACAAGGUGGCAGGAGAUAAUCAACCGAGAGUUCUCUGACCACACUGUUCUGUGGGACACAUGGGUGCUUACACACACACACACACACACACACACACACAUUUUUUUAAGAAUGGAGGAGGAAGAAAGCAAAUGAGAACAUUGACUAGUCAAAGGAGAGAGUGGGUACCAAUAAGAGUGCAAUGAGGAAGCAGCUUUGGAGGGGAUGGGAUUGUUUGCAUUGCUGGAGAUUGAACAUAGCCUCACAGAUUAGAAAAGCACUUUACCACUGAGCUAUAUCCUUAGCUCAAAAUAUAACUUUAAAAAGUUGUUUAUGUGUACUGUGUAUAAAAGUGCCCUCCUAGGUCAGAAGAGAGUGUCGGAUUCCACAGAGAUAGAGUUACAGACAGUUGUGAGAUGGAUGCUGGGAACCAAACUCAGGUCCUCUGGGAAAGUGGUAAACAAUGCAACUGCUGGGCCAUCUCUCCAGCACCAGAAAACAAACAAAAAAGAUGUUUUUAUUUUGUUUUGUGUAAUUGUUCUAAUAUUUUUAUAUAUGGGUGUUUUGCCUGAAUGAUCGAUUUGUACUGCAUGUCUGUGCUACAUGUGCCACUGGAGGCCAGGGAAAGGCAUCCCAUCCCCUGGGACUGGAGUUACUGAUGGUUGUGGGCCACAAGGUGAUGGGAAUAAAACCCAGGUCCUUUGGAAGAGCAGCCAGUGCUCUUAACUGCUGAGUCAUCUCUCCAGACCCUAGUUUGGUGGUGUGUGUGUUUGCUUGUUUGUUUGUUUGAGGCAGGAUCUUUCCCCAUGAAGCCCAAACUGCCCUUGUACUUGAUCCUUCCUGUCUCUACCUCCCAAAUGCAGAAAUUAUAGACAGAUAUGCACCACUGUACCUCGGAGAAAAGGACCUCUAAGAUGAAAAAAUUGAAACUGGGAUUGUGGCUCACUUGGUAGGAAGAAUGCUUGCCUAGCAUUCAUGAAACCCUGGGUUUGCGCCUCAGAAAACUCUAAAAGCUGGGGCUUUACCCAGGUCUUCAAAGGUGUAGAGAAGAGGAGCAGAAGAUAAAGUCAUGCUCAAUUACACAGGAAAUGUGAGGCCAUCUAUCUACAUCAGGCCCUGUCUCAAACACCAAUAAAAUAAGAGAAUGUUAAUAAAGUAUGUUGUAGGGGCUGGUGAGAUGGCUCAGUGGGUAAGAGCACCCGACUGCUCUUCCGAAGGUCCGAAGUUCAAAUCCCAGCAACCACAUGGUGGCUCACAACCAUCCGUAAUGAGAUCUGACUCCCUCUUCUGGAGUGUCUGAAGAUAGCUACAGUGUAAUUAUAUAUAAUAAAAAUAAAUAAAUCUUAAAAAAAAAAGUAUGUUGUUAGUACACUAUCCUUUAGAGGGAAGACUGAGAUGGCAGAAAAAAAAGAUGAUUUGGUUUUGUUGUGGUUUGGUUUGGUUUGGUUUUGACUUUUUCAAGACGGUUUCUCCAUGUAGCCCUGGCUGUACUCUCCUACUGUACUGUUGUGUAGAUCAGGCUGGCCUCAAGCUCACAGCAAUCCACCUGCCUUGUCUUCCCAGAGCUGAGAUCAGUGGCAUGCACCACCACCACCUGGCUCAGAAAGAUGAUUUUCAAAAGGUCCUGGGAAAGCCAGGUCCUCAUGACACAGAAACAGAUGGAUCUGUGUGAGUUUAAGAUCAGACUGGUCUGCAGAGUAAGUUCUAGUUCAGCUAGGGCUACUUAGAGAGAUGUUGUAUCAAAAACAAAACAAACAAAAGAUCCUGUCCUUUAAAAAAAAGGAUGGGGAAAAAGUGAAGACUGGGUCUAGUUCAGAAAUCCGUGCCCAGCAACAGGAGUGUGGUAAGGACACUGUGUCUUCUCUCCCUGCUUUCACUCUCUCAGUGGUUGAACAAACCAGGGUUGGGAUACAGUCAGUGGUAGAGUGCUUGCUUAGGGUUUGAAACCAAGCAUCACAAAGACAAGGAAGAAGAACUAGAAAUCCACAUGUAGACAUGUAUGCCUGCUGUUCCCCCAUGUGCACAGGCCUGCAUGCAUGUGUGUGCAAGUGUGUGUGUGUGUGUGUGUGUGUGUGUGUGUGUGUUUCUUCUCUCGGGCAGUAGUUAGCACUAUUGUGUUACCACUGUUUGGUUUGCCAUUUUGAGCUUUAUAUAAAGAAUCAUAACCUCUUAUGCCAUUUUGUUUGUGAGAGCUCAUAAUCCCUUGACAAGGACUUGUCAUUUGUUAAUGCUGAGAUGCUUUAAUUUUAUGAGUAAGCAACAUUGGAUACCUUUUUUUGUUUGGUUUGGUUUGGUUUUUGGUUUUUUGAGACAGGGUUUCUCUGUGUAGCCCUGACUGUCCUGGAACUCACUUUGUAGACCAGGUUGGCCUCGAACUCAGAAAUCUGCCUGCCUCUGCCUCCCGAGUGCUGGGAUUAAAGGCAGGCACCACCACCACUGCCAGGUGAUAGAAACACAUUGGUUUUCUCUGGGUAGAGAACUAAGUCAUAGCAGGUAAACACUUCAGCCUCAGCACACCAUACACUCCCUCCGCUGUUGUCCUCCAUGCCUUCCAGGAUCCACCCAACGCUGGGUGUCUUCACCCAGGCUCUGAGCUUUAGAUCUUGGAGAUCUCAUUGUGAUUCCAGUUACAUUUUCUUGAUUAAAAACUUAUGUUAAUGGCCAGAAAGAUGGCUCAGCAGUAAAGAGGCUUGCUGCCAAGCCUAAGAGCCUCAGUUUGAUCCAUGGAACUUACUAGGGAGAGAACUGCCCCCCCCCCAGGUUAUCUUCUGACCUCACAUGUGUCACUAAAACACCCACACAAAUCAAUAAAUGUACAUUUUUAAGGUUUUGUGAAUCAUCUUUUCAUUGUUCUUUUUCCUUUAUUUUAAUUAAUUAAUUAAUUAGAGGCCCUGAACUCAGAGAUCCUGCCUGCCUCUGCCUCCUGAGUGCUGGAUUAAAGGCGUGCACCACUAUGCCUGGAUUUUUAUGUAGGCCGUUUAAAUUUCUUUUCCAAAGUGUUUUUCAAGUCAUUUCCCCCAUUAUUUUAUUGUUGUUUUCUUACUAGUUAUGGGUGGUUUGGUUUGGGUUUCGUUUUCAGACAGGUUCCCAUAUAUAGAAAAGAUUAGCCUUGAAUACCUCACGUUUUUGCCUCACCAGAUGUGCUUCCACACCAGCAGUUUUAAACAAUGUAUUCUGAAUAAAAGUCCUUUGUAAAG